GAUGAACGCUGGCGGCGUGCCUAAUACAUGCAAGUCGAGCGAACAGUCGAGGAGCUUGCUCCUCUGACGUUAGCGGCGGACGGGUGAGUAACACGUGGAUAACCUACCUAUAAGACUGGGAUAACUUCGGGAAACCGGAGCUAAUACCGGAUAAUAUAUUGAACCGCAUGGUUCAAUAGUUAUAGACGGCUUUGCUGUCACUUAUAGCUGGAUCCGCGCCGCAUUAGCUAGUUGGUAAGGUAACGGCUUACCAAGGCGACGAUGCGUAGCCGACCUGAGAGGGUGAUCGGCCACACUGGAACUGAGACACGGUCCAGACUCCUACGGGAGGCAGCAGUAGGGAAUCUUGCGCAAUGGGCGAAAGCCUGACGGAGCAACGCCGCGUGAGUGAUGAAGGUCUUCGGAUCGUAAAACUCUGUUAUUAGGGAAGAACAAAUGUGUAAGUAACUAUGCACGUCUUGACGGUACCUAAUCAGAAAGCAACGGCUAACUACGUG
rnacentral:rRNA from 1 species